GAAUCAUCAAUUCAUGCUGUCAUUGCUAUCAAUUCCUGAAUUAUGUGAUCGAUCAUGUGAAGGUGCCACAUGGUGGUGCUCCUGACUCCACGUUGUUCAAAGGCCUGCACUGGCUGGAGGGAGUUUAAGCAGCAAGCCUACCAGAACUGGCUUUGGAAGAAGGGCAAAGAAGAAGAUUCAUCAAGGUUCAUAUUUCAGCAUCCUCUGGAAAACAGGGACAGAUACCUUUCUCUGGGUCAGUCAUGAAUGUGAAAAGAAGCAAAGCAGAGAGGAG